CAUUAUUGAAUAAACUUGGUAGGUUGUAGCUGGCUUUUCGAAGCAUGUGCACGCCCGCCAUCUUUAUCCAUCCACCUGUGCACCCUUUGUAGUCUUGGAGGACAAGAGUGAGCCGACUCCUCGAAUAGCUUCUAGCCUUUCGGAUGUGAGGAAUGCUGUGCGAAAGCACGGCUCUCCUCAAUGGCUCGCAAUUUCCUUUAGGUCUAUGUUUUUUUCUUUUCCCCCUUUGAUGUUGUAGAAUGCAUUAUAUGGGCCUAUGUGCCUAUAAAACUCAAUACAACUUUCAGCAACGGAUCUCUUGGCUCUCGCAUCGAUGAAGAACGCAGCGAAAUGCGAUAAGUAAUGUGAAUUGCAGAAUUCAGUGAAUCAUCGAAUCUUUGAACGCACCUUGCGCUCCUUGGUAUUCCGAGGAGCAUGCCUGUUUGAGUGUCACUAAAUUCUCAACCACUCUAGCUUUUGCAGCUGGAUGUGGCUUGGAUGUUGGGGGUUUUUGCGGGCCUCUUUUGAGGUCGGCUCCCCUAAAAUGCAUUAGUGGAACCGUUUGCGGUCUGUCGCCGGUGUGAUAAUUAUCUACGCCAUAGACAAAGGCUGCUCUCUGUCUGUUCAGCUUCCAACUGUCCCUUGCGGACAACUUCUGAAUAUUUGACCU
rnacentral:rRNA from 1 species